GAUGAACGCUGGCGGCGUGCCUAAUACAUGCAAGUCGAGCGAACAGAUGAGGAGCUUGCUCCUCUGACGUUAGCGGCGGACGGGUGAGUAACACGUGGAUAACCUACCUAUAAGACUGGGAUAACUUCGGGAAACCGGAGCUAAUACCGGAUAAGAUAUUGAACCGCAUGGUUCAAUAGUGAAAGACGGUUUUGCUGUCACUUAUAGAUGGAUCCGCGCCGCAUUAGCUAGUUGGUAAGGUAACGGCUUACCAAGGCAACGAUGCGUAGCCGACCUGAGAGGGUGAUCGGCCACACUGGAACUGAGACACGGUCCAGACUCCUACGGGAGGCAGCAGUAGGGAAUCUUCCGCAAUGGGCGAAAGCCUGACGGAGCAACGCCGCGUUAGUGAUGAAGGUCUUCGGAUCGUAAAACUCUGUUAUUAGGGAAGAACAAAUGUGUAAGUAACUAUGCACGUCUUGACGGUACCUAAUCAGAAAGCCACGGCUAACUACGUG
rnacentral:rRNA from 1 species